GAGGAUGCAGCUCAAUGGUGGAGCGCGUGCCUAGCAAGCAGGAGGUCCUGGGUUCAGUCCCCAGCACCGCCA
rnacentral:tRNA from 1 species